rnacentral:rRNA from 1 species
UACAGAAGGUGCGAGCGUUAAUCGGAAUUACUGGGCGUAAAGGGUGCGUAGGUGGUUUUGUAAGUUAGAGGUGAAAGCCCGGGGCUCAACUCCGGAAUUGCCUUUAAGACUGCAUCGCUAGAAUUGUGGAGAGGUAAGUGGAAUUCCGAGUGUAGAGGUGAAAUUCGUAGAUAUUCGGAAGAACACCAGUGGCGAAGGCGACUUACUGGACACAUAUUGACGCUGAGGUGCGAAAGCGUGGGGAGCAAACAGG